rnacentral:rRNA from 1 species
GCUUACGGCCAUACCACCCUGGAAAUGACCGAUCUCAUCUGAAUUUCGGAAGUAAAGCAGGGUCGGGCCUGGUUAGUACUUGGAUGGGAGACCGCCUGGGAAUACCAGGUGCUGUAAGCU